UGGGGAAUAUUGGACAAUGGGGGCAACCCUGAUCCAGCAAUGCCGCGUGUGUGAAGAAGGCCUGCGGGUUGUAAAGCACUUUCAGUAGAGAAGAAAAGCUUAGGGUUAAUACCCCUGAGUCUUGACGUUACCUACAGAAGAAGCACCGGCUAACUCCGUGCCAGCAGCCGCGGUAAUACGGAGGGUGCAAGCGUUAAUCGGAAUUACUGGGCGUAAAGCGCGCGUAGGUGGUUGUGUAAGUCGGAUGUGAAAGCCCAGGGCUUAACCUUGGAAUUGCAUCCGAUACUGCAUGACUAGAGUAUGGUAGAGGGAAGUGGAAUUUCCGGUGUAGCGGUGAAAUGCGUAGAUAUCGGAAGGAACACCAGUGGCGAAGGCGACUUCCUGGGUCUUUUCUGACGCUGAGGCACGAAAGCUAGGGGAGCGAACGGGAUUAGAUACCCCCGUAGUCC
rnacentral:rRNA from 1 species